AGGAGGAUUGAGAAAGUUUGGCAGCCAGAUCAUUGUUGCUACAACUGGUUAUUCCCUCCAACAGUAAGAGGCAAAUUACUCUUAUAACAGCCUAACUCUACUGUAGGCUGUACACAGUGAUUUGCCUACAGUUG